GGCUCCGUAGCUUAGAGGAAAAAAGCGCCCGUCUAGUAAAUUGGGAAUUGUGGGUUCGAUUCCCAUCAGAGCAA
rfam:Aedes albopictus isolate Foshan contig136426, whole genome shotgun sequence.